rnacentral:rRNA from 1 species
AGCAGCCGCGGUAAUUCCAGCUCCAAUAGCGUAUAUUAAAGUUGUUGCAGUUAAAAAGCUCGUAGUUGAAUUUCGGGAUUAGUACGCUGGUCAUGCCUUUGGUAUGUACUGGUGUUACUGAUUUUACCUUCUGAAGAACCGUUAUGUCAUUCAUUUGGUGUGGCGGGGAAUCAGGACUGUUACUUUGAAAAAAUUAGAGUGUUUAAAGCAGGCUCGCGCUUGAAUACAUUAGCAUGGAAUAAUGAAAUAGGACGUUGAUCCUAUUUUGUUGGUUUCUAGGAUUGACGUAAUGAUUAAUAGGGAUAGUUGGGGGCAUUAGUAUUCAAUUGUCAGAGGUGAAAUUCUUGGAUUUAUUGAAGACUAACUACUGCGAAAGCAUUUGCCAAGGAUGUUUUCAUUAAUCAAGAACGAAAGUUAGGGGAUCGAAGACGAUCAGAUACCGUCGUAGUCUUAACCAUAAACUAUGCCGACUAGGGAUCGGAUGAUGUUAAUUUUUUAAUGUACUCAUUCGGCGCCUUAC